AUUACAAAUUCUUCAUCUGAUUAAGCAAAUGUCACCAUCUUGCCGGUCAGGGUCUUCACCAAGAUCUGCAUCCCACCUCUGAGACGCUGCACCAGGUGCAGGGUCAACUCCUCCUGGACAUUGUAUUCAGACAGGGUGCGCCCAUCUUCCAGAGCACUAGUAUAAACUCAGAUCAGAGGCCAAUUGCUUCAACAAACCGCUGUCACAACAGAAAACCUGAGGAAUCAAGUUCAUCUUGAAAAUUACAGCAACGAGCCAUUCUGAUAAUAGGAAUAGAACCCAGAGGCACUUUAAGCACGGAGCCACACCCCCUUUGAGACAGGCUCUAACAUGCUUAGGCUUUACUAAAUUGCUGAGGCUGGCCUCAAAUUUACCAGCUUCCUAAGUUGCUGUGAUUACAAGCAUGGGCCACCAUGCUUGGCAUCAUUCUCUAUUUUAAACUUGUUAAGUAGAUGGAAAAUAUAUUACCUGCCACCUUUUCAAAUAAAUCUGAUCUCAUUGACUUCUAUGCAGACCGGUGAUUCAUGCAGCUACUAUGUUAAAGCAGAUUCUUUCCCCUCCCAUCUUACCUUUUUAAAUACCUUUCCUACAAGAAACAUUCUUCUCACACCACCCCAAAGAGUAAAUACAAACCUGUUCAAUGUACACACAUAAAACAUUAAUCUAUCCAACCCUGACACUUUUUUUUUUAUUCCUGACAUUCUUUUAAACUACUGUACACAUUUUUAAAUUAUUUUAAAUUGUAGAUGGACAUGAUACCUUUAUUUUUAUGUGGUGCUAAAGAUUGAAAUCAGUGCCUCAAACACGCUAGGCAAGUGCUCUACCAUUGAGGUACAACCACAGCAUUUUUCUCCAAUGUCAGGCAAGCACUGCACCACUUAGCUACAACCACAGCCCCUUUGUACAUAUUUUCUCAUCAGUAAAAUCAAAUAGUGUCAGCCUCCUGACAGUGCCAUACACCUGCAAUGCUACUCCCAGCAGCUUGGGAAGCUGAGGCAUAACUGUGAGCUCAAAGACAGCCUCAGCAACUCAGUCUCUAAGAAUACGGCUGACUAAGCACCCCUAGGGUCUAAUCCCCAGUACCCCCUAAAAAGUAUCUGCCUCAUAAAAUCAAGGGGUAUAUUGAUUUAUAUAUUUAUAUAAAAUCUACCACUAUCUCUGCUAUUUGCUGUUUUUGUUAUAAUUUUCCUGAGUAUAGGAUAAUUGUAAGGGGAAAAAUAUUUAAAAAGCAUGAAUAACCCAGCUUUUAUUUUUACCUUCCUACAGUUCUAUAUACCACUUUGCAAUGGCAAUUUCUUACUUCAUGGUAACCACAAAAACAUUGAUGCACCAACCCAACACUAAUUCAAAGUUUUAUUUUUUUAAAAUUUAUUUUCUAUUUAUUCAUUUGUAGGUGGUGCUGCAGAUCAAAUCCAGGGCCUCACAUGUGCUAAGCAAGCACUCUACCGUUGAGCUAUCGCCCCAACCCCUUAAUUUAUUUUUAGUUGUUGAUAAACAUUAAACAUGAUGCUGAGAAUUGAACCCAGUGCCUCACACAUGCCAGGCAAGUGCACUGCCACUGAGACCCAGCCCUAAUUCAAAGAUCUUUAAACUGAAUCCUGCUGAUCCAACCCUACUCCAAUUUGAAUAUUCUUAUAACUAAAAAGACAAAAACACGACUUGGAAUGCAACAACUUUAUUGAAAGAAAAGUGCAAAGAAACUUGUCAAAUGCUUAAAAGGGGGAAACUUAGACACCUCCCCUCAAGCGCAGCACCAGGUGCAGGGUGGACUCCUUCUGGAUGUUGUAGUCGGACAGGGUGCGCCCGUCUUCCAGCUGCUUGCCCGCAAAGAUCAACCUCUGCUGGUCGGGGGGGAUGCCCUCCUUGUCUUGGAUCUUUGCCUUGACAUUCUCAAUGGUGUCACUGGGCUCCACCUCCAGGGUGAUGGUCUUGCCAGUCAGGGUCUUCACGAAGAUCUGCAUUGUCUGGUUACAAAAGGGCAACAACAACAAAAAGAACCAAGAAUUUUAGCAGUGCUAAUGGCGAAAGUUCAGUAUCGCUGUAUACUUGUCCAAAUAAUUAAAAGGGGCCUUGUGGCACAAGCCUUUAAUCCCAGAUAGUUGGGAAGCUAUGGGAGGAAGAGGGCAAGUCAUAGGCCAACCUGAACCAUUUAGGGAAACUGACUCAAAAUAAAGAAUGACAUGUAAAUCCCAGCAGCUCUGGAGGCUGAGACAGGAGAGUUGCAAGUUUCAAAGCCAGUCUCAGCAAAAUCAAGGUGCUAAGCAACUCAGUGAGACUCUGUCUCUAAAUAAAAUACAAAAUAGGGCUGGGGCUCAGAGGUUGAGGGCCCCGAGUCCAAUCCCCGGUAGCCCCCUAAAAAAUAAAGAAUGAGAAGUCCUGGGGGUGGAGUUCGGUGGGAGAGCGUCUUCAGAUUCAAUUCCCAUUACCAAGAAACUUUUUUUUUUUUAAGUGAAAAACUUGCCUUAGCAACAUCAAGAAAUACAGGCAGCACUACUGAUAAAUUAGUUCAAAACCUUGGCUUGGAGCACUAAGGCAGCCUGGAAACCUUGACCAAUUUAACCUCAGAGGCCUCAAGUCUCACCCCCCCCCCUCCGGAUGCCGGGUUCUGUCAAUCCAGCAGGGUCUAACCUCGGCCCGAGUCCUGCGACUGAGAAACACCGCCUACACCCACAUGGGCAGGCGGCCCCACCCCGCAUGAGCGAACAGACGGGGUGACGUCACCCGACCGCGACGGUGUGCAGCGCGCCCCAGGAGUAGGACUACGGCGCGGCACCUCAUCCCGGUCUGCACCCCCGGGGGCGGACGACCAGCCCCUCCAGUCACUCGAGCCCCGAAACACUUCACGCCCGCCCGGGCGUUCUCCAACCCCGCCGCAGGGCCAUCUGCCCCCACCUCCCGCUGCGGCCAGGGCCCUCCCGCGCUUCCCUUCCGCCCCCUGACGGCAGGCUCGAGCCCCAGCCUCACAGCCCCUCUCUGCGGCGCGGCUCCUCCCGGUUAAGGUUUCGCAGCGGCCGCCAUUUUGCCGCUUGUCCCCUCGGGUCCGGCGGGGCGCUAAGCGCCAAGCACCAAGCCGCCGGCCCCGAGGCAGGCAGCGCGGCCCCGUCUCCCACACGGCCGCACGGCCAGUAAGCCCCGAGCGCCGCGACGUCAGCUCACCAGCGGCAGCAGCAAGCAGUAGAGUAGCGACAGAACUCACGGCCUCGACGGAACUCACUGCGCCCCGCCCGGCGCCGCCUUAUAUAGGCUGUGGCGUCCACCGCCCGGAGAGAUCCCUCCGCGGAAACGCCGAGAAGGGACUACUUUCCUCCGCCCUUUCCGCCCUCCGGAAAGAAAACGACUAACCGGAACCACCGGAUCCCCGUUCCUGGAAUAUCAUCGGACCGAGGCCGAGGCGUGGGGGGUCGCACGCGUCGGGGGGCAGGUGGCCGUUGUGAGGGCCAGGCGGAGGGAUCAGCUCGGGCGCAACGGUGCGGCGACCCUGGAUGGGGGCGGGGCGGGUGGGGCGAAAGCCCGGCGUGGAGCCCGGGCCGGAGCGGAACGGAGCGCGCCCUCUGCCCCCGCGACCCGCGGGCCUUGGCUCCUGUCUGUUUUAGCCGCUCUGUGCCCGGUCCGCCACGUCCCCUCGCCCUGGCCGCCCUCCGCGGGCCCAGCCCCCACUGUGGCACGGUGACAGGGCGCGUGACGCUGCAGUCUCCGCGCAGGGCCUGGGUCAAGGACGAGCCGGCGUCCCCAGAGCUCCCACGAAGGAGCCUGUCCAGCUGCCCUUGGAAGGGAGGGAAUUGAGCUGGACCUGAGGGCCGGCGGUCGGCCUCCGGGCUGUUCCGGGGCCUUCCUGUUUGUUCUCGGUGGCCCUGAACAGGAGAGGGUCGCCUUUGGUUGCCGACAAGGAGACUGCGGAUUUAAGCUCCUUCUGCAUUUGAUGUACUCAGAAGGGGCUUAAGCCUGAGAUGUCCUUUUAUUUUUUACUUCGACUGCAGAUGUCCCACUGUUGCGUUUCACCCCCGGCCCCGAAAUUAAGUCUAUUAAACUGAGAUGGAAAAAAAGAAAAAGAACAUGUUUACGGAUGUGUAAGUGACCCCGUGAUGGUUGAACCCAGGGUGUUCAGGGUGUUGUGUGAUGGUCAAGUCAGGUUGGACCUGUCUGCUGGACACUGACCACUCCUCUCCAGGGGAAGCGUUCAGAUCCUUCCAGCUAUCUAAAAUGUGAGGCGCGAGGUUUUAAAACACAGGAAUUGAGUCUCAGCUGUGCGUAUUUCUGGGGAGGAUUUUUAAUAUGUCAAAUACAAACUGUGACUCCACAGGAACAUUCUAUUUUGAUAAAAGAGGAGGAAAGAGGAGGAUUGCGAGCCCAGGUGGUUUCAUUUUUACCACAACCUAUACUGUGACUCCUGUGUGUCAUUUCCCCAGCCACUGUUCCUUCUGGAUUCUUCUGGAAAUAGUCCCUGUUUCUACAAACGUAGGGGGAGGAUAAUGUUUG
rnacentral:lncRNA from 1 species